rnacentral:rRNA from 1 species
UACGUAUGGUGCAAGCGUGAUCCGGAAUGACUGGGUGUAAAGGGAGCGUAGACGGUUGUACAAGUCUGAUGUGAAAGCCCACGGCUCAACUGUGGGAGUGCAUUGGAAACUGUAGAACUAGAGUAUCGGAGAGGCAAGUGGAAUUCCUAGUGUAGCGGUGAAAUGCGUAGAUAUUAGGAGGAACACCAGUGGCGAAGGCGGCUUGCUGGACGAAAACUGACGUUGAGGCUCGAAAGCGUGGGGAGCAAACAGG